rnacentral:rRNA from 1 species
AUUGAACGCUGGCGGCAUGCUUUACACAUGCAAGUCGAACGGCAGCACGGGGGCAACCCUGGUGGCGAGUGGCGAACGGGUGAGUAAUACAUCGGAACGUACCCAGUGGUGGGGGAUAACCUACCGAAAGGUAGGCUAAUACCGCAUAAGCUCGAGAGAGGAAAGCGGGGGACCGCAAGGCCUCGCGCGACUGGAGCGGCCGAUGUCCGAUUAGCUAGUUGGUGGGGUAAAGGCUUACCAAGGCGACGAUCGGUAGCUGGUCUGAGAGGAUGAUCAGCCACACUGGGACUGAGACACGGCCCAGACUCCUACGGGAGGCAGCAGUGGGGAAUUUUGGACAAUGGGGGCAACCCUGAUCCAGCCAUGCCGCGUGAGUGAAGAAGGCCUGGUUGUAAGACUCUUCGUGGGUACGAAACGGGUGCGGUGAAGUAGCCGCGCUCACUGACGGUACGUCACAGAAGAAGCACCGGCUAACUACGUGCC